rnacentral:tRNA from 463 species
AGGCUCGUAGCUCAGUUGGUUAGAGCACCACCUUGACAUGGUGGGGGUCGUUGGUUCGAAUCCAAUCGAGCCUACCA